rnacentral:rRNA from 1 species
CACGUAGGGUGCGAGCGUUGUCCGGAAUUAUUGGGCGUAAAGAGCUCGUAGGCGGUGUGUCGCGUCGGCCGUGAAAACCUGCAGCUUAACUGUGGGCGUGCGGUCGAUACGGGCAUCACUGGAGUUCGGCAGGGGAGACUGGAAUUCCUGGUGUAGCGGUGAAAUGCGCAGAUAUCAGGAGGAACACCGGUGGCGAAGGCGGCAUCCUGGACCAAUACUGACGCUGAGUGAGCGAAAGCCAGGGGAGCAAACGGG